rnacentral:rRNA from 1 species
GUGAGGAAUAUUGGUCAAUGGGCGAGAGCCUGAACCAACCAAGUGGCGUGAAGGAAGAAGGAUCUAUGGUUCGUAAACUUCUUUUGCAGGGGAAUAAAGUGCAGGACGUGUCCUGUUUUGUAUGUACCCUGAGAAUAAGGAUCGGCUAACUCCGUGCCAGCAGCCGCGGUAAUACGGAGGAUCCGAGCGUUAUCCGGAUUUAUUGGGUUUAAAGGGUGCGUAGGUGGUUUGAUAAGUCAGCGGUGAAAGUUUGCAGCUUAACUGUAAAAAUGCCGUUGAAACUGUCGGACUUGAGUGUAAAUGAGGUAGGCGGAAUGCGUGGUGUAGCGGUGAAAUGCAUAGAUAUCACGCAGAACUCCGAUUGCGAAGGCAGCUUACUAAGCUACAACUGACACUGAAGCACGAAAGCGUGGGGAUCAAACAGGAUUAGAUACCCUAGUAGUCC